AUUGAACGCUGGCGGUAUGCUUAACACAUGCAAGUCGAACGGUAACAGGCCUUCGGGCGCUGACGAGUGGCGGACGGGUGAGUAACGCGUAGGAAUCUGCCUCAUAGUGGGGGACAACUUGGGGAAACUCAAGCUAAUACCGCAUACGCCCUACGGGGGAAAGCGGGGGACCUUCGGGCCUCGCGCUAUGAGAUGAGCCUGCGUUAGAUUAGCUAGUUGGUGGGGUAAAGGCCUACCAAGGCGACGAUCUAUAGCUGGUCUGAGAGGACGAUCAGCCACACUGGGACUGAGACACGGCCCAGACUCCUACGGGAGGCAGCAGUGGGGAAUAUUGGACAAUGGGCGCAAGCCUGAUCCAGCAAUACCGCGUGUGUGAAGAAGGCCUGAGGGUUGUAAAGCACUUUCAAUUGGGAGGAAAACCUGUCGGUUAAUACCCGGCAGCUUGACAUUACCUUUAGAAGAAGCACCGGCUAACUCCGUGCCAGCAGCCGCGGUAAUACGGAGGGUGCGAGCGUUGUCCGGAAUCACUGGGCGUAAAGGGCGCGUAGGCGGCGGUGCACGCGUGGGGUGAAAGUCCGGGGCUUAACUCCGGAUCGGCCUUGCGGACGGCACUGCUGGAGCAUGGUAGAGGCAGGUGGAAUUCCGGGUGUAGCGGUGGAAUGCGUAGAGAUCCGGAAGAACACCGGUGGCGAAGGCGGCCUGCUGGGCCAUGGCUGACGCUGAGGCGCGACAGCGUGGGGAGCAAACAGGAUUAGAUACCCUGGUAGUCCACGCCGUAAACGAUGGGGCACUAGGUGCUUGGGGGAGCGACCCUCUGAGUGCCGGCGCUAACGCAUGAAGUGCCCCGC
rnacentral:rRNA from 1 species